rnacentral:rRNA from 1 species
AUUGAACGCUGGCGGCAUGCUUUACACAUGCCAGUCGAACGGCAGCACGGGCUUCGGCCUGGUGGCGAGUGGCGAACGGGUGAGUAAUAUAUCGGAACGUACCCAGAAGUGGGGGAUAACGUAGCGAAAGUUACGCUAAUACCGCAUACGAUCUAUGGAUGAAAGCAGGGGACCGCAAGGCCUUGUGCUCCUGGAGCGGCCGAUAUCUGAUUAGCUAGUUGGUGAGGUAAAGGCUCACCAAGGCGACGAUCAGUAGCUGGUCUGAGAGGACGACCAGCCACACUGGAACUGAGACACGGUCCAGACUCCUACGGGAGGCAGCAGUGGGGAAUUUUGGACAAUGGGCGCAAGCCUGAUCCAGCAAUGCCGCGUGAGUGAAGAAGGCCUUCGGGUUGUAAAGCUCUUUUGUCAGGGAAGAAACGGUAGAGGCUAAUAUCCUUUGCUAAUGACGGUACCUGAAGAAUAAGCACCGGCUAACUACGUG